rnacentral:rRNA from 1 species
ACGUAGGUGGCAAGCGUUGUCCGGAAUUAUUGGGCGUAAAGCGCGCGCAGGCGGGUUUUUAAGUCUGUCUUAAAAGUUCGGGGCUUAACCCCGUGAGGGGAUGGAAACUGGAAACCUAGAGUAUCGGAGAGGAAAGCGGAAUUCCUAGUGUAGCGGUGAAAUGCGUAGAUAUUAGGAAGAACACCAGUGGCGAAGGCGGCUUUCUGGACGAAAACUGACGCUGAGGCGCGAAAGCCAGGGGAGCAAACGG